AUACAUACCUGACAGGGGAGAUACCAUUAUCAUGAGGGUGUUUUUUCCAGGGUGAGGCUUAUCCAUUGCACUCUGGGUGUGCUGAUCCCUGCAAUUUUCCCAAAUGUGGGAAACUCGACUGUAUAGUUUGUGGUAGUGGGAAACUGUUUUUGCACUCUCCCCUC
ensembl:snRNA U1 U1 spliceosomal RNA